UUACGGCCAUAUCACGUUGAAACGCCGGUUUUCGUACGAUCAUUGAAGUUAAGGAAUAUCAAGCCCGGUCAGUACCUAGAUGGGUGACCACUUUGGAAUACUUGAUGCUGUUA